ACCCGCUGAACUUAAGCAUAUCAAUAAGCGGAGGAAAAGAAACCAACAGGGAUUGCCUCAGUAACGGCGAGUGAAGCGGCAACAGCUCAAAUUUGAAAUCUGGCCUUGGCCCGAGUUGUAAUUUGUAGAGGAUGUUUCUGGCGCGGCGCCUUCCGAGUUCCCUGGAACGGGACGCCAUAGAGGGUGAGAGCCCCGUACGGUCGCGCGCUAAGCCUCUGUGAAACUCCUUCAACGAGUCGAGUAGUUUGGGAAUGCUGCUCUAAAUGGGAGGUGUACGUCUUCUAAAGCUAAAUACCGGCCAGAGACCGAUAGCGCACAAGUAGAGUGAUCGAAAGAUGAAAAGCACUUUGAAAAGAGGGUUAAACAGUACGUGAAAUUGUUGAAAGGGAAGCGGUUACGACCAGACUUGGGSCCGGUUAAUCAUCCAGCGUUCUCGCUGGUGCACUUGGCCGGCCCAGGCCAGCAUCAGUUUGCCCCGGGGGAUAAAGGCUUCGGGAAUGUGGCUCCCUAGGGAGUGUUAUAGCCCGUUGCGUAAUACCCUGAGGUGGACUGAGGUACGCGCUCCGCAAGGAUGCUGGCGUAAUGGUCGUCACCGACCCGUCUUGAAACACGGACCAAGGAGUCGUCUUCGUAUGCGAGUGUUCGGGUGUCAAACCCCUGCGCGUAAUGAAAGUGAACGUAGGUGAGAGCUUCGGCGCAUCACCGACCGAUCCUGAUGUUCUCGGAUGGAUUUGAGUAAGAGCAUACGGGGCCGGACCCGAAAGAAGGUGAACUAUGCCUGUAUAGGGUGAAGCCAGAGGAAACUCUGGUGGAGACUCGCAGCGGUUCUGACGUGCAAAUCGAUCGUCAAAUGUGGGCAUGGGGGCGAAAGACUAAUCGAACCUUCUAGUAGCUGGUUUCAGCUGAAGUUUCCCUCAGGAUAGCAGUGUUGAGCUCAGUUUUAUGAGGUAAAGCGAAUGAUUAGGGACUCGGGGGCGCUUUUUAGCCUUCAUCCAUUCUCAAACUUUAAAUAUGUAAGAAGCCCUUGUUGCUUAAUUGAACGUAGGCAUUCGAAUGUAUCAACACUAGUGGGCCAUUUUUGGUAAGCAGAACUGGCGAUGCGGGAUGAACCGAACGCGAGGUUAAGGUGCCAGAGUAGACGCUCAUCAGACACCACAAAAGGUGUUAGUACAUCUUGACAGCAGGACGGUGGCCAUGGAAGUCGGAAUCCGCUAAGGACUGUGUAACAACUCACCUGCCGAAUGUACUAGCCCUGAAAAUGGAUGGCGCUCAAGCGUCUCACCCAUACCUCGCCCUCAGGGUAGAAACGAUGCCCUGAGGAGUAGGCUGACGUGGAGGUCAGUGACGAAGCCUAGGGCGUGAGCCCGGGUUGAACGGCCUCUAGUGCAGAUCUUGGUGGUAGUAA
rnacentral:rRNA from 1 species